AGGGUGCAAGUUGUACUUUUUUUCCAUCAAUGCGACUGGUAUGCUGUGGAAAGGCCACCCCAUGAAAGUGGACCCAGCUCCACACAAACGCCGCUCCUGAAGGUGAAGGCAGAACGGCUGUCUCACCACACACAGGUACCCACGGCACUGCAUGGCUCAACCGCGGUGUUAACGCAGGGCACACGGGGACUGCAGCGCCGUGCCCAGGGCUGGUCAGUCGCAGCAGUGCCCCCACGCUCCUCCUUGGCUGGCUCCGUGGUUUUUCUGUCAGACGCCUGUAGUUUGACCCAGGACGUUUUGGGAAGCCACCUGCAUUUCUGCCUUCACGGCGUUGGGGCUGCAAAGCUCGCUCGGCCUGGCGGCAGAUGGAGCAGCAACCGUCGCAAACCUCCCGUGCCACUCCUGCAGAACACGGCUCGCAACAAGCAGAUGUAAAACGCAUCGAUGGGAAAUUCAUCUUAGAAAUUUCAUCUUGGGUGUUCCCAGCUCCUAGAAUAUCAGCUUCAAAGCCUGUUGUACCCACGUAUUUCUUGCAUGAUUUCGUAUGCUGCAGACACCUCUGAGGGGAACGUCCUGCACCCUGGGGCGCAGCAGGCAAUUGUACUGGAGCAGGAGUGGGUGCUGCUUCUGCCUGGGCGCCCACACCAUUGCCCAAGUGCCAGCCCCAUUCUAGAGCAAAGUGUUAAAUGUUUUAGCAAAGCACAGCCAGCAGAUAGCAGCAUUGCUAUACGUAUAUAUGUAUAGACCUCAGGCUGCUCCUGCUGCGGUUUCAAAGUCAUGCAGGAACCUCGGUGAAUGGCCUGAGCCCUGGCUCCGCUCUGUGGUGGGCAGCCACACAGCAAGCAUCUGAUCUGGCUGCAGCAUGUGCUGAGGCUUUAAACGCUUACCUGCUAAAAUUAACGAGAAAUAGUACUUCUGCACCCUCUAAACUAAAUUGCCUCGAACAAAGGAAUGUGCAUCCCCGGGGGGGUGAAAAUCUGCACAGGAGUUUUGUCCCAGAUCUCGGGCAUUUUCCUAGCGGUGCGUGGGAUUUCGCCAGGAUCUGGCUUUGGUUUUGGUAGCUGCCACAGUGCGAUGGGCAUGUGAGGCCUUAACCAGGAACUUUAGCACAAGAUGCAGGUGGGUGCUUGGUGGGUGCUGCGGGACAGCACCACGAGUAGGUGCUUGUGUGUGACGGAUCCUGCCGCUGAGGGGCCUCUGCCGCCAGGAUGGGUCUGCCCCACGAUACAUCAACAAAAAAGAAAUAAAGACCCAGCAGCAGAGAAAGGAGAUGCUUUU
rnacentral:lncRNA from 1 species